UGGUCCGUCCGGAAGGAGUUUAAGGAUCUGAUCCUUGUGUACGUGGCAACGUUUGAGUGGGACGGGUUCUGUUUGUGCUGGGCUGGGUUGAAAAAAAUUAGGUCAUUCUCGACCGAGACAGAAAAAAAAAGAAGCUCUCGACGAUUAGGCGGAAAACUGGUACUACCAAACUUGUCGGAUCCAGUCGGAUCUCCGCCCGAUCCAAGACGUUCUCGCCGAAUUCAACUCCAAGUUCACCCGCUCUCGUUACUUCCCCGUCUGCUCCUCUCUUCCCAUCCUCUUACAGGCACGUGCUCUCGUCCCCCUCCCGUUACCGAGCUCUGUUCUCGAUUUCGUGACAGUAGCGAGCUCUGGUGGGCGGAUGCAAAGGAUUUGAUUUUGAAUCUAGGGUUUUACUGAGUGUUCGAAUUUAUAGGCUGCUUGUAAUAACGAUGUCUAUUGCGUUUUGUAGGCUGCUUGUAAUGGCAAGCGGAGAAGUAUGAGAGAGCUUUCCUUCUCCACCUGUUUCAGUGGAAUAGCUACAACAACGCUAAAGAGAUUCUCAAACUGUCAGCUGCUGAUUAUAUCAAAACGUUUGAUCCUUUAACUAAUGUAAGAGCGGAUGACGCAUAGAGACAUCUUAUAUAUUCUAAUUACAUCUCUAAUCCAUCUUAUCUUCCUCGCAACUGUUCCUGUAUCAUGCCUAACACUACUUGGAGAAACUUUUCUGGUUAGUGAUUUAGUAUGUUGAUGUUCUGUCAGGAAUUUUCCCGAGCUAGGAGAGCUGCAACGAGAGUAUGGCAAUAAAGCUGAUGGACCAUCUAGUCACGUGUUUGCCGACUAUGCUCUCAAAAGCUAUUGCAUGAUCCUGAUGUUCCUCGUGGGUGCGAUCCUAACUCUCCAGAGUACGAAACCGAUGAGUUAGGGGGUUCCGGUUCUUGUUAACCGCUAUAUAGAUUUAACUAUGAUCAUUUUCUCGCAAGCUUCCAGUUUUCCGUGUUUUAUUAUCAAUUGCCAGUUUUUAGUUCUUAUCUUCCUCUCUACCAAACUUGUUUCCUCUCUAGCUAGUUAUCUCUUUCGGUUUGUUUCGUCUCUAUCAGAACUUGUUUCCUUUCUUUCCUUUUGGUACUACUGUAAAAUCUUGUUGCUACAACUCGAAGUUGCCACAAGUGUAAUCUUGUUUCUUAUCUUAUAUGCUUCUCUUAUGUUGUUUU